CGGCCGGCGCACGGGUGAGUAACGCGUAUCCAACCUGCCCACCACUUGGGAUAACCUUGCGAAAGUAAGACUAAUACCCAAUGAUAUCUCUAGAAGACAUCUGAAAGAGAUUAAAGAUUUAUCGGUGAUGGAUGGGGAUGCGUCUGAUUAGCUUGUUGGCGGGGUAACGGCCCACCAAGGCAACGAUCAGUAGGGGUUCUGAGAGGAAGGUCCCCCACAUUGGAACUGAGACACGGUCCAA
rnacentral:rRNA from 1 species